AAUGUGGUAAGGUUGUUAGUGGAGGGGAGUGAGUGUGAUUGGUGCUGGUGCUAGUAUAAAUAGGCGGGGUGGUGUUUAGAGAAGUAAAAAUCUUUUUUUUCUUUCUCUCUCUCUACUCUCCCGGCCGACUCUCUCCCACGCCUCUCACUCUCUUCCAAACUUCUCUCUUUGAUUUCAUCUUCAUAGAAGGAGAUUUUGAAAAAAAUCCAAGUAUUAAAGUUGUUCUACACGACAAGAUCUUCCUAUCGAUCCAAGAAGAAUCAUGAUCGGAGCACUUUGAGGUUUCCUCCAUGUUCGGGCUUGCUUCUAACCUUGGAGGUACUUGCCAUGACACUUAGCUUGGAUUGCAUGGAAUGCACAUUGAGACGUUCCUUGAGAGCUUCAUUGGAAUCAUUAAGGAGGUGUUUUAUCAUCUUGUCUAAUUCAUCUUGUAUACUUUACUCGCAAUUGAAGGUUGUAUCUUUUGGUUAGAACAUAUGUAAAGCUAUGUAUAAACUCAUCUAUUUGAUUAUUGUGAAGCCCUUUUAAUGGAAUACGUUUGAGAGACUGUGUAAAAAAAAAAAAUAAAAUAAAAUAAAAUUUAGAGAGAAGAAGAAGAAGAAGAGACUUUGAUUC